rnacentral:rRNA from 1 species
CCUACGGGUGGCAGCAGUGAGGAAUAUUGGUCAAUGGCCGGAAGGCUGAACCAGCCAUGCCGCGUGAAUGUCAGUGCCCUAUGGGCGUUAAACUUCUUUUAUGCGGGAGCAAUAAUGGUCUCGUGUGGCCAGACGAGAGUGCCGUACGAAUAAGCAUCGGCUAAAUCCGUGCCAGCAGCCGCGGUAAUACGGGGGAUGCAAACGUUAUCCGGAAUUUUUGGGUUGAAAGGGGGCGUAGGCUGUGAGGUAAGUCAGCGUGGAAAUGCCGCCGCCUAACGGGUUGAAGUGCCAUGGAUACUGCACUGCUGGAAUGCAGAUGCGGUGGGAGGAAUGUGUGGUGUAGCGGUGAAAUGCAUAGAUAUUACACAGAACACCGAUUGCGAAGGCAUCUCACGAAUCCGCGAUUGACGCUGAUGCACGAAAGCGUGGGUAUCAAACAGGAUUAGAUACCCGGGUAGUC